UACGAGGGGGCGAGCGUUGUUCGGAAUUAUUGGGCGUAAAGGGUGCGUAGGCGGUUCCGCAAGUCCUGUGUGAAAUCUUCGGGCUCAACUCGAAGUCUGCACGGGAAACUGCGGGGCUUGAGUGUGGGAGAGGUGAGUGGAAUUCCCGGGUGUAGCGGUGAAAUGCGUAGAUAUCGGGAGGAACACCUGUGGCGAAAGCGGCUCACUGGACCAUAACUGACGCUGAUGCACGAAAGCUGGGGGGAGCAAACAGG
rnacentral:rRNA from 1 species